AGCAGCGUGGCUUAGUGGAAAGAGCCUGGUCUCGAGCGUCAGAGAUCACGGGUUCUAAUCCCGGCUCCGCCA
rnacentral:tRNA from 1 species